CUCCUGUCAUUUGAGAACAAGGUGCGUACGUUAACUGCGUACGUAUUGAUAGUAUCAGAAGAGGAAGAGACGGCUAACUCUGUGC
rnacentral:rRNA from 1 species